rnacentral:rRNA from 1 species
UACGGAGGAUCCGAGCGUUAUCCGGAUUUAUUGGGUUUAAAGGGUGCGCAGGCGGGAGAUUAAGUCGGCGGUGAAAUUUUGCAGCUCAACUGUAAAAGUGCCUUCGAAACUGGUUUCCUUGAGUGUAGAUGAAGUAGGCGGAAUUUGUGGUGUAGCGGUGAAAUGCAUAGAUAUCACGAGGAACUCCGAUUGCGCAGGCAGCUUACUAAGCCACAACUGACGCUCAAGCACGAAGGCGUGGGGAUCAAACAGGAUUAGAUACCCCGGUAGU